rnacentral:tRNA from 1 species
GGCCCAGUGGCGCAAUGGAUAGCGCGUCUGUCUUCGGAACAGAAGGUUGUAGGUUCGAGUCCUGCCUGGGUCG